ACUGCGAUAGCUCAGUUGGUAGAGCAUUUGCCCGGUAAGCGGAAUGUUGCCCGUUCGUUUCUGGCUCUCGGUG
rnacentral:tRNA from 1 species